rnacentral:rRNA from 1 species
GGGGGUAAGUAGAGUGGCGGACGGGUGAGUAACACGUAGGUAACCUGCCCUCGGGAAGGGGACAACUCUCCGAAAGGGGAGCUAAUACCCUAUAAGACCGCGGUGUCUGCGGACACAGCGGUAAAAGGUGGCCUCUGCUUGCAAGCUACCGCCUGAGGAUGGGCCUGCGGACCAUCAGCUUGUUGGUGGGGUAACGGCCUACCAAGGCUUAGACGGUUAGCUGGUCUGAGAGGAUGACCAGCCACACUGGCACUGAAACACGGGCCAGACUCCUACGGGAGGCAGCAGUGGGGAAUAUUGGACAAUGGGCGAAAGCCUGAUCCAGCUACGCCGCGUGAGUGAUGAAGGCCUUCGGGUUGUAAAGCUCUGUGGGGAGGGACGAAAAAGGUAGUCAAGAAACGGGCUGCCCUUGACGGUACCUCCUUAGCAAGCACCGGCUAACUCUGUGCCAGCAGCCGCGGUAAGACAGAGGGUGCGAACGUUGCUCGGAAUCACUGGGCGUAAAGCGCGUGUAGGCGGAUAGUCAAGUCAGGUGUGAAAUCCCUGGGCUCAACCUAGGAACUGCAUCUGAAACUGGCUGUCUUGAGUGUCGGAGAGGGAAGCGGAAUUCCAGGUGUAGAGGUGAAAUUCGUAGAUAUCUGGAGGAACACCGGUGGCGAAGGCGGCUUCCUGGACGACUACUGACGCUGAGACGCGAAAG